rnacentral:rRNA from 1 species
CCUACGGGUGGCUGCAGUGGGGAAUAUUGGACAAUGGGGGCAACCCUGAUCCAGCCAUGCCGCGUGUGUGAAGAAGGCCCUCGGGUUGUAAAGCACUUUCAGUGAGGAAGAACGCCUGGUGGUUAAUACCCAUCAGGAAAGACAUCACUCACAGAAGAAGCACCGGCUAACCUCCGUGCCAGCAGCCGCGGUAAUACGGAGGGUGCGAGCGUUAAUCGGAAUUACUGGGCGUAAAGCGCGCGUAGGUGGCUUGAUAAGCCGGUUGUGAAAGCCCCGGGCUCAACCUGGGAACGGCAUCCGGAACUGUCAAGCUAGAGUGCAGGAGAGGAAGGUAGAAUUCCCGGUGGAGCGGUGAAAUGCGUAGGGGUCGGGAGGAAUACCAGUGGCGAAGGCGGCCUUCUGGACUGACACUGACACUGAGGUGCGAAAGCGUGGGUAGCAAACAGGAUUAGAUACCCCUGUAGUC